AUGGCGACCGGCGCACGGGUGAGUAACACGUAUCCAACCUGCCGAUAACUCCGGAACAGCCUUUCGAAAGAAAGAUUAAUACCGGAUAGUAUACGAAUAUCGCAUGAUAUUUUUAUUAAAGAAUUUCGGUUAUCGAUGGGGAUGCGUUCCAUUAGUUUGUUGGCGGGGUAACGGCCCACCAAGGCGACGAUGCGUAGCCGACCUGAGAGGGUGACCGGCCACACUGGGACUGAGACACGGCCCAG
rnacentral:rRNA from 1 species